GCCCUCCCCGCCGCCGCCGCUGCCUCCCCGGAGCCUGCGGGCGGCGCGGAGGCCGAGGAGCGCUCGCUGCAGCACAUGCUGCGCGCCAUAGCCGAGGAGCGCGGCCGCCUCAGCCUGCGCCGCGAAGUCUGCGGCCUCGGGUGCUUCAAGGAUGACCGCAUCGUCUUCUGGACUUGGAUGUUCUCUACCUACUUCAUGGAGAAGUGGGCCCCGCGGCAGGACGACAUGCUCUUCUACGUGCGCCGGAAGCUGGCGUACGUGGGCAGCGAGGGCGCCGUCGACGGGCGGAAGCUGGCUGAGGCCGAGCCCGAGGUGGAGGUGGAGGUGUACCGGCGGGACUCCAAGAAGCUGCCGGGCCUCGGAGACCCUGACAUCGACUGGGAGGAGAGCGUCUGCCUGAACCUCAUCCUGCAGAAGCUGGACUACAUGGUGACAUGUGCUGUGUGCACACGAGCUGAUGGGGGGGACAUCCACAUCCAUAAGAAGAAAUCCCAGCAAGUGUUCGCAUCCCCCAGUAAACAUCCCAUGGACAGCAAAGGCGAAGAAUCCAAGAUCAGCUACCCCAACAUCUUCUUCAUGAUCGACAGCUUUGAGGAGGUGUUCAGCGACAUGACCGUGGGCGAAGGAGAGAUGGUCUGUGUGGAGCUGGUGGCCAGUGACAAAACCAACACGUUCCAAGGGGUCAUCUUUCAGGGCUCCAUCCGCUACGAGGCGCUCAAGAAGGUGUACGACAACCGCGUGAGUGUGGCUGCCCGCAUGGCACAGAAGAUGUCCUUUGGCUUCUACAAGUACAACAACAUGGAGUUUGUGCGCAUGAAGGGGCCACAGGGCAAGGGCCACGCUGAGAUGGCGGUCAGCCGCGUGUCCACUGGUGACACGUCCCCCUGCGGGACCGAAGAGGACUCCAGCCCGGCUUCGCCCACGCACGAGCGGGUGACCUCCUUCAGCACUCCGCCAACGCCCGAGCGCAACCACCGGCCCGCCUUCUUCUCCCCGUCCCUCAGGAGGAAGGUGCCCCGGGGCCGGAUGGCGGAGAUGAAGAAGUCUCACUCGGCCAACGACAGCGAGGAACUCUUCCGGGAGGAUGACGGGGGAGCCGACCUGCACAAUGCCACCAACCUGCGGUCUCGGUCCCUGUCCGGCACGGGGCGCUCCCUGGUCGGGUCCUGGCUGAAGCUGAACAGAACGGACGGUUAUUUCCUUCUUUACGCACAUUUAACCUACGUCACUUUGCCGCUGCACCGGAUUCUAACAGACAUCCUGGAAGGACGGCAGAAGCCCGUCCUGAUGAGCUAGCCGUGUGCGGAGCCCACGCGGAGCCUCCAGCCCCGCCCAGUCCUGGGAGUGCUGCCAAGUGCCUACCUGUCCACCGCCACUGGGGUCUUCCGGACCACCCAGCGCCGCAGCCGGAGCCAGGCGGGACCACUCGACUCCCGGGGCCAGGGCCAGCUCCACCAACACCAGCCCAAACUGAAGUGCCUCGUCCCCCCCCGCGCUGGCUCUGCUCUGCCUCUGCCCACCCACCCGGCACCCUCAGCCUGUCUCUGGAGAACCCUCUGCACCCGAAGAGGACCAGAGACGCCAAGAGGCGUACGAGCGAGCGGAGGCGCAGCCAGCAUCCAGAGGGAGUCCAGCCCUACGGACCCGACGCACGCAUCCCGACAGACGGCGGGCAGAGACCACUGGCCGGGGGCACGCGGUGUGUCACACUGGCAGCACUUAAGGCACAGCGGUUUCAGAUCGUGUGACACCGUACCGAUGGCCUUCAGCAUCCAAUUUGCCCACCUGUCGAUGGCUGAUGGGGCUGAUACCACCUACCUCACCGCAGUCUCCAGGGUUCCGGUGCACGACCGGGUCAGGGCGAGAUGGCCAGCCCUCCGGCAUAGCUCAGCUCAGGUGGCAGACUACCGGGACGCUUACCCCACCCCACACCCCGGUCACCAGGCCGGGGAGGCGAGCGGUGGGGUCGGGGCGGACGUUCUUGCGUUCUCCGACAGCACCCGGCUCGCGCUCGGCUGCAUCUCAGCUCCCCGCACAGCUUCACGUUCCAAAACUGUGUCUUAGGGCAGCACAGAGUCAGGUCACGCCCCAGAGUGUUGGAGCAGAGCCUCAGGGAGCCGUGAGCCUGGCCCGGUGUUCCCAGGUGCCGGGUGAGUGUUCUCUGGGGAGCCCAACGCUGCCGCCACGCCUGUGUCCGAGGCGGCUGAAUUACAGCUUUUCCUUCAGGCUGCUUUUCUUCCUGGUCUUCUGGGGUCUGAAGACUCUGGCUCAGUUCUUGGGAGAAAUGCAGUCCUAACGUAUCUGCCGUGGGAGGAUGAGGUAGUUUGGCACACGCGCAGUGCAGUUCUCAUCGGGGAGGAGCCCGAGAAGGGUCCGCCCACACUGGAGCCAGAAAUCGGCUCCUCAAAUGUGAGUUCUGCCUGCAAGGGUAACUGAGGGCCAGUUGCAAGGAACGCGUGAACGUGCUCUGCAGAGCUUAGACGUGCGGGCCACGGUGGUAUUAUAGAGAUCACACCUCACUGGUAAAGCGCGUGAACGUAGGUAGCACCUAGCAUGUGCAGGCACCGUGCUAAACGUUUAGGUGCUGUCAUCACCCCCUUCGUACAGAUGAGGGAGCAGCCACACACAGGCUGGGACAACAGGAGCCCAACCCAGGCGGUCUGGCCCCAGUCGACACUGAGCCUCGACACCGUGCUGCCCCAGGACUGCUGCACGAACGUUCCGUGGAAUCGACCUUUCUCAGUCUUAAAUCCUCCAGAGGCUACUUCUGACACUGAAUUUAAAACAUGCUUAGAGGCACCUGGUAACUAGGCAGUAAGCUGUUACUCUGAGUUUUGCUUUUCUCAAGGUCACAAAUGACAUCAGUAACAGAGUGACAAGUGACGGGGCCAGAACCGGGGCCCCGACAUCCCGGGGCGUCCUGGUGUUGACACAUCUUGCUUCCUGUAGGGCCGUCUUUCGUUUUCUGGGAACAUGCCUGUCUCUUGUAAAACGAGGGGACAGCCAAAGCGCGUGAACAUCUCUUAAACGGGAAUUGGAAUUAAAGUGCAGUUUUCCUUUGAAGAAACCUGUAACCUCUGAGCUUUUUAGGACAUUAAUAAGAAAGUUAUCUUCUUUUUUAGAGUCAGACCCGUGUCUUCUGUUUCCAUCUCCUUCAGCACCUGAAGGUUCGGGCAGUGUUUAGUCUCCAUUCCGAUGUCUGAUGCGAGGAACUUUCAGUUGUCUGUGAAAACAGCUGAGGCUUGUUAUUUCAAAAGAAGGAUAUUAUUUUUAAGUAACAGAGAAGUAGUCAAAGAGAAGAAAAGGCAGAAUAGUCUAAAGCCAGUCAACUUGGAGAUAGCAUGGGUCUUCUGGCGAGUCAGAGCCUUGCUAACGUUUGGGCUUUUCAAGGACUGUGAACAAAUCAUCAGAAAUCAAUUAGGUUUCUGUCAGUGAUGGUAACGACAGACAGGCAUGUUCCUGAUGUGGUAUUUUUUCUUUUCAAAGACUCUAGCUAGAUCGAACCAGGACCUAUUUUUGCUGUUUUAAUCACAGAUAAACGAGUCAGUAGAGAUUUUUGAAGAAUGAUGUGAAAACUUCUUUUAUUUCUUAAAAGACACUCCAGAGGAAGUCCCUAUGCAGUUGGUACAUUCUAACGACUGACUUCUGAACAACAUUCGACAUUAUCAUAAUGAGGGGGUUUUUAAUUGCUGGCCAAAAUUCUUCAAAGAUUUACCUUGAAAAUAUAGAUUUACCUACAAAACUGUCAACUUUUUAAUGCGCCUUGGUGAUAGGUUUCACUCUGAUUAAUUCUGUUCAGUUUUCCAACGUAGCUGGAAUUUAGUUACAAAAACCAAGUGUCUUUUGCCGGUACAUUGAUUAUUCCUGUUCAGGAUUUCUCUCUUCUGUGUAUCAGACAGCAGAAUUACUCCCCUUCAAAGAGAGAACCGCCCUAAUAGGACAGAGACUCCGACAGGGACGUGAUGCUGGCCGACAUCGGGCCCUGGAGCUGGAGUGGAAGUAGCCUCCGGAGGCGUCAGCAGCCCUUCUGGCAGCGCUGCUCUCCGGCCGGGCGGCCGGAGUCCCACCCCGUCCCUCCGGGAGUCGGGUGAUGGGUGCACCGGGGCUUCUUUUCCUUUGUUCCUGUUCACUGACGGACGUGAUCCUCAGCGGAACAGGAAUCCUGCAGCCCUUCGCCUGGGCCCCGGGAACAGACGGCCCCGGAGAACUCCUCGGGGACACCGCACAGGAGCCGAAUCACUUGAACACCGAGUGGCCUGGGGCUGGGUACAGAGUCCACAGCGGGUAGAGCCUCAGAAGCAGAGGCAGCCGGCCGCGUGGAGGCGCUGGUGUUUACAGUUUUCUACUCUCCCCAGGGCAGGCGGGCCUCUUCGCGGCUGCGGUUCCAGCCCUGAGCUCAGUAGAUGAAAACCAACAGCGACGCUCCAACUCUGCUGCGCGGCUGCCAGUGUGCAGUCUUUCGUCCCCCACUUCCUAGAAGGCUGG